GUAAGAAAAAGUUCUGUCAUUUCAGCUCGGGUACACUAAAUAGAGGAGACGAUAGUUUUAGCUAUAAAGGAGACGAUAUGAACAGUACCUCCUCUGACGGGCUGCUCUAUGACAGUGUCAACAUAAGCGGAUACCACUAUCUUCUUGGUAUAUCGGUUGGCAUCGUAAUCCUCCUCACUGCUGUUAUUAUCGCUUCAUACUUCUGCAAAUAGGCCGUGUGCCUUUCAACUCACAAGGCCUACCUCAACAUACCUCGUCAACAUCUCAGAUCCCUCGUAUUAGAGCAGUAGGCUUGGAUGCCGCUACCAUAAAGAGCUACCCGGAAUUCCUCUACUCUGAAGUUAAACUCUGCGGCACAUGCACCAACCCGAUCGCCUUCACCUCCACCCGGUGCUGUUCAAUUUGCUUAGCUGAUUAUGACAAUAAUGACACGAUCCGCUUGUUACCUUAUUGUGGGCACUUCUUCCAUGUUGAGUGUGUCGAUCCUUGGUUGCUACAGCGUCCAACUUGUCCAAUUUGUCGGUCAUCAUCACCGGAACAUGUUUGUGAGACCGGAACCUUAGAAAGCAGGAUGGUCUAGAGGACGGGCCUAGCAAGGGGCUAACCCGGUCUAUAGCCCGUCCCUAAUUCUAGCCGAUCAAAAAAUUUGAUUUAACAAAGGUCAAGUUUCCUUAAUUUGGUUGGAGUUAUCACAUAACAAAAUAUUUGGUCGAAUCCCUGGAGGAAUCAAGGGUUUGGUGGGAUUGCAAACCUUCGAGGUGAGUUACCAUAGCGUGUGUGGAAAAAUACCAUAUGGAGGAAAGAUGCAGAGUUUCCAUGGCACUGAUUAUUUCCAUAACAAGUGCUUGGGUGGACCACGAUUGUUGGGCUGUAAGAAGCUCAAUGCAUGAGUGGGUGAACGAGGGAAAUGUUGCAAGAUCAUGAGAAAUGUUUGAACCCUCAUUUCGGACAUACAUGAAAAUUUUGGCGCAUACGUAUGGAUGACCCUAAUUACUGUGGGGUAAUAAGAGAUCUGGGAGCUCAAUCAUGGUGAUUAAGGAUUGUGAAAUCGAAGUUUAGAAUAUUAUACUAUUGAAAAUCAUCUCAUAUCAACAAAUCAAUGGAUCUUCAAAUUCUUUGUGUGGUUAUCCGAGAUACCGAUACAUGUCCAUACCACGUUAAUAUGAAGUCAACAGUUGAUGAGUUGAAGUUGCAUGUUUGUUCUUAUUGGAAAAAUAUUUUACAAGCCUCAAUUCAGUUUAUAUUUGAUAGUGACGGAAAAAGAAUGGUUGUUGACAGUGAUGUCAAGAUUCAUUAUGUCAUAUCAUUGUGUUAUGUUCAGCAAUUGAUUUUCUUGGAGCUUCGUUUAUUUGAACGUGUUCGUCUUCGUGUUCCUGAUUUUGUUCGUAAAUAUACAAUUAGGGAGUUGCGUUUAGCUCCAGACCCUAGCACAGAUCAGAUGGUUAUUCCUUGCCAUCUUCCGAACAGUAAAGUUACUCGUGAACCUACAAUGAUGGAGUUGCUUUUAGGUAAAGACAAUAGAUCAUAUCAGUCGGUAUUAUUCCUUCCUCUCAAGAUCUUGCUUCGUCUCAAGAUAUCCCUUUGUUUCAAGAACAUGCAUUCAAUUGAAAGAUCUCAGCUAAAAAAUCUUGCAAGGCAGAUGAAUGGGUGUUUAUUAUAAAAGGUGUUGGUCAAGAUUUUUUUGGAGGACGAUAUGAAGCUCGUCUUGUUGUUACAAAAUAUAAUCAUUUUUUAGUCACAAGGUCAGAGUCGUCAAGGGCGAUUUAGAACGAUAUACUGUGGAGUUCUUUUACAAGGACAAAUUAAAAUGCAACUGGAGUUUCCAUGCAUCUUUGAAGACUUCUUGUUUCGGGAUCAAAAACUCGAAUGGGGAUAUUUCUUUUAUAUGGUCACUCGUCCCCUCUACUUGAGGAUAAUGGGAUACUAGGAUAUGGUCAAGUCAAGUCAGCUUUGUUGAAUUUAUUAUUAGAAUCCUAUGCAAUUACU